GACAUCCAGAACUUUUCCACCAGUUGGAAAAGUGGAAUGGCUUUUUGUGCCCUCAUCCACAAGUUCUUUCCUGAUGCCUUUGACUACGCAAACCUUGAUCCAGCAAAUCGGAAAGAUAAUUUCACCCUGGCCUUCUCUACUGCUGAGAAAUAUGCAGACUGUGCUCAACUCCUGGAGGUGGAUGACAUGGUGCACAUGAGUGUUCCUGAUAAUAAGUGCAUCUACACCUAUAUCCAGGAACUUUAUCGCAGCUUGGUGGAGAAAGGACUAGUAAAGACCAAGAAGAAAUAGAAAUGCAAAGCAGGCUUUGGCUUCAGGCUCAUUGGAAGCUAUAUAAAAACUUGGUAGGACAGAGGGAAUGCAACAUGGGAUGUAUAUAUUCUGCAAUUUUCCGAGCAUGGAACUGGAACCAACUACUACUACUUAACCCUCAUUAGCAGUAAAAUCUGCUAUGCACCACCCUUCUGCCACCUGAAAAGAGCAGGAAAGGAACGCUUACUGAUGCCAUGCCAGCAUUUCAAGCAGAGCAGAACUGAGUCUGCCCCAUAUGUACGAGACUCAGAAGAAGUGUUACCAUCAGCAACUCUGCAUCCUCUUUUUGGGUUGCAAAAGUGUUCCUGCAACCCAUGCUGCAAUCACUCUUUCCCUGACCAGGCACCGGUACUAUUAAAGCACAAAUGUACCAAGUCAAGGUUGUCACACAAUAUUUUUAUGCUGCAUUCUGUUUUAGCAAUGGCAGCUCAGGUGCCCUAUGGCGUGGUUUCCAAGGGAGAAUGCAAACAUGUUCUCUGUUUGAAGUAGCUGCCCAGGCAUAUUAGAAUGGUUUGAGCAGUGCAGCAUAUGUGACC